rnacentral:rRNA from 1 species
CACAUGCAAGUCGAACGGCAGCACAGUAAGAGCUUGCUCUUAUGGGUGGCGAGUGGCGGACGGGUGAGGAAUACAUCGGAAUCUACUUUUUCGUGGGGGAUAACGUAGGGAAACUUACGCUAAUACCGCAUACGACCUACGGGUGAAAGCAGGGGAUCUUCGGACCUUGCGCGAUUGAAUGAGCCGAUGUCGGAUUAGCUAGUUGGCGGGGUAAAGGCCCACCAAGGCGACGAUCCGUAGCUGGUCUGAGAGGAUGAUCAGCCACACUGGAACUGAGACACGGUCCAGACUCCUACGGGAGGCAGCAGUGGGGAAUAUUGGACAAUGGGCGCAAGCCUGAUCCAGCCAUACCGCGUGGGUGAAGAAGGCCUUCGGGUUGUAAAGCCCUUUUGUUGGGAAAGAAAUCCAGCCGGCUAAUACCUGGUUGGGAUGACGGUACCCAAAGAAUAAGCACCGGCUAACUUCGUGCCAGCAGCCGCGGUAAUACGAAGGGUGCAAGCGUUACUCGGAAUUACUGGGCGUAAAGCGUGCGUAGGUGGUUGUUUAAGUCUGUUGUGAAAGCCCUGGGCUCAACCUGGGAACUGCAGUGGAAACUGGACAACUAGAGUGUGGUAGAGGGUAGCGGAAUUCCCGGUGUAGCAGUGAAAUGCGUAGAGAUCGGGAGGAACAUCCAUGGCGAAGGCAGCUACCUGGACCAACACUGACACUGAGGCACGAAAGCGUGGGAGCAAACAGGAUUAGAUACCCUGGUAGUCCACGCCCUAAACGAUGCGAACUGGAUGUUGGGUGCAAUUUGGCACGCAGUAUCGAAGCUAACGCGUUAAGUUCGCCGCCUGGGGAGUACGGUCGCAAG